GGAGGAAUAUUGGUCAAUGGGCGGGAGCCUGAACCAGCCAAGUCGCGUGAGGGAGGAAGGCCCUACGGAUUGUAAACCUCUUUAGCCGGGGAGCAACGUGCGCCACGCGUGGCGCAGUGAGAGUACCCGGAGAAUAAGCAUCGACUAACUCCGUGCCAGCAGCCGCGGUAAUACGGAGGAUGCGAGCGUUAUCCGGAUUUAUUGGGUUUAAAGGGUGCGCAGGCGGCGCGAAAAGUCAGCGGUCAAAGUUCCGGGCUCAACCCGGUGACGCCGUUGAAACUUUCGUGCUGGAGUUCGUGCGAGGGAGGCGGAAUGCGUU
rnacentral:rRNA from 1 species